GAUGAACGCUAGCGGCAGGCCUAACACAUGCAAGUCGAGGGAGAGGUUACCUUCGGGUAACCAAAACCGGCGCACGGGUGCGUAACGCGUAUACAAUCUGCCUUUCACAUAGGGAUAGCCCGAAGAAAUUUGGAUUAAUACCUAAUGGUAUAUAAGAGCGGCAUCGUUUUUAUAUUAAAGCUACGGUGGUGAAAGAUGAGUAUGCGUUCUAUUAGCUAGUUGGAGAGGUAACGGCUCCCCAAGGCGACGAUAGAUAGGGGUUCUGAGAGGGAUGUCCCCCACACUGGUACUGAGAUACGGACCAGACUCCUACGGGAGGCAGCAGUGAGGAAUAUUGGACAAUGGUCGGAAGACUGAUCCAGCCAUGCCGCGUGCAGGAUGAAGGUCCUAUGGAUUGUAAACUGCUUUUGUAAGGGAAGAAUAGGGAGUACGUGUACUUUGAUGACGGUACCUUACGAAUAAGCAUCGGCUAACUCCGUGCCAGCAGCCGCGGUAAUACGGAGGAUGCGAGCGUUAUCCGGAAUCAUUGGGUUUAAAGGGUCCGUAGGCGGGCUGAUAAGUCAGAGGUGAAAGCGCUUAGCUCAACUAAGCAACUGCCUUUGAAACUGUCAGCCUUGAAUGAUUGUGAAGUAGUUGGAAUGUGUAGUGUAGCGGUGAAAUGCUUAGAUAUUACACAGAACACCGAUAGCGAAGGCAUAUUACUAACAAUUUAUUGACGCUGAUGGACGAAAGCGUGGGGAGCGAACAG
rnacentral:rRNA from 1 species